GGGGAAAAAACUAAGUUGUUUUUGCAUCACCCUGCAUGCUAUACGAAACUUGGUGUUAAUUCUCUAUACAUUGGUUUUGUUUCUUGUGUAUGGGCUUGCUGCAACUAUAUUCAACAACGAGUCGUUAAAUGUAGUGAAAUAGCAGGAUGUAUGCCAAGCAGCAGUCUCUUUGUACGAUCAGUAUGGAAUAAUCAAUCGGGAAUAUAUUAUGAAUGGGACCUUCCUGCGCAACGCCAUUUAGCUCUAAACAGUCGCAACAUUUAAAAAGCAGUACUUUGAAAAUGCCAUUGCACUAACUUAAAAUUCUUUCACAUUGUGAAACAUUUAACUUGAAUGUUGGAGGAUUUGUGAUUUUUUUUUUCGAACUUUGCGGCCCCCUCCAUAAAAUUAAACAUGGAAAAUAUAACUUUGCCAGCUGAGACUAAAUGUCUUAACAGUUGCCUUCAUUUGACCGGCUGUAUUACGGGCGAAAUGUGCAAAAAUUACAUAGAAAACGAAUACAUUUUCCCGAACUUUGUAGAAUGGAUCUAUAUCGGACUGUACAUUAUUCUUUUCUGUUGCGGAAUAGUAGGAAAUACUUUGGUGUGCUAUGUCAUAUACACGUGCCAUCAUAUGCAAACUUUUGUGAACAUCUUCAUAUUCAACCUGGCCGUGGCGGACUUUCUGGUCAUCUUUGUGUGUCUUCCCCCCACCAUGAUGGCUGACGUCACAGAAACGUGGUACCUGGGGGAAACCAUGUGCAAAAUUGUCCCGUUUCUACAGACAACCUCCGUGACCGUCUCAGUGCUAACAUUGUCGGCCAUUUCGGUGGAGAGAUACUUCGCCAUUUGCAAACCUUGGACAAGAAGGUUAUCAAAGCGCUUCAUUGUGCGAGUGAUCGUCUGUAUCUGGCUAAUCGGAUUUAGUGUUUCCAUACCGGACCUGAUCUUCUACUCGGUCACGACCACAUUCCAUGAGAGCAUCACUUUCUAUUUGCGUUACUGCAGCCGACAGUGGACAUCCAACGACAACUUGAUUUAUAACCUCAUUAUUUUGAUAGUUCUCUAUUCCAUCCCAAUCUGCCUCAUGGCGUACACAUACGCAAUUAUUUCUAAACAACUUUGGCGGAAAGACCUACCAGGAAUCGUGGAAGCAGCAGAACAUCGUCCAAUGAACAAAAUGACGUCAUCGGGACCAGAAAGCCAACUUCGAUCCCGACAGAGGGCAGCAAAAAUGCUUAUAGCUAUAGUGGUUGUGUUUGCUGUUUGUUAUCUUCCGGUCUAUGUAUUGAAUUUAACAAGAAUCACGGCAUCCUUUCAAGAAAUCCCAGCGAACUGGAUCUCCAUCAUUGUGCUUACUUCACAUAUCCUGUGCUACGCCAACAGUGUGGUGAAUCCUUUCAUCUACAACUUUAUGAGCGAUGUUAUUUAUGGUUCCUGGUUGCGUAUAAUGGAUUAUAAUUGCUUAUUACAUACGAACAAAGUUUCGCAAAGAGUUCCAAGCAGUUCUUCGACUGUCCAGGUGCAGAUGUUCCAGUCGGAAAAUCCGGAUACCCUCGGUUUUGACGUCAUCCAAAAACAAGAGUUCCCUUCCCAGGACCGAAGGAUACGAGCUGAAUAUCGACAACUCCAAACAAAGCUGGAUCAAAUCGUCAACUAUAAGAAAGGAACAAAAUCCCCAGGAGAAAUACGGAUGAAAUAUGAUGAAUGUACAACCCAGAUAUUUUCUUUGGUCUAGGUUAAUUGGAUGAGGAGUCCAACGAUAAUAGUGAUGGAUGACUUAAUCCGAUUAUUAAGUCAAUUUUCAUUCUACACACGGACAGAAUAUGAUAUCAAUGGAUUUGUGUCUCGUGACGUCCUCAAAAUGGAUUUGCUUUAAUUAACUGAUUUUUUCUUAGAAAGAUGAUAAAAUUUGUUGACAUGACAGUGCGGAUAAAAUAAUUUGUUUUUCUGUGUUAAUUUUUGUUUUUGUGUAAUUAUGUUUAGGUCACGCGGUGUAUUACAAAAAUGACUUUUUAUAUGCAGAAUUGAUGUCAUAAAUAUUUCUGCAUAUUAAUGAUAAGGAAUUAAAAAAAAAACAAUUCUGUACAUUAGUAUUCGUGAAAUGUAUGCUGUCCAUAACUUCCACUCCUGUUGAGUAUAAAUACAUGUACAAAAUGCACUGGUAGGAUAAUUGAUUAAAGGCUGGAUUAGGUUACAUUAUUUCUUUUUAAAAUGGUUUGAUCAUAUUUAUUGCAUGAGUGUGUCAAAAGGGGUCUGGUGAUAAUUCGAAGUUUUAGCAAUCAUAGUUGUUGGAACCUCAGAAGCAGUCCGCAUGCGCAAACUUAUAAAGGUCGAAUAUUAUUGAAAUUCAAUUUAAAAGCAUUCAUUUAAAGUUGUGAAAAUGUAGGUUUUAUUUAUAGGAAGAAUAUGGCAGGACAACCGGCUUUUUUGUUUUUUAAUUUUUUAUCAAUUUUGUUAACUGUAUCAUAUCUGUUCAUGGCAGAAUCAUAUAAAAUACGAUAAAAACAACCCAGAUUUGUUUUUUGGUUUGGUUCUAUUUGAUGAGGGGUCCAGCGAUAAUAGUUAUUGAUAACUAAAUUGAAUUAUUAAGGUGGCAUGGGACACCUCCAAUAUAUGGCGUACUUCCUAUCGAAAUAAACAACAAAAUCAAGAAUAAUUUUAUAAAUGUUUUUUCCCCAUAAUUGUUACCUAACAGAGUUGUGCAGUGGGUUAGCGUGUUAACAACGAUUGUGUAAGUCAAGAGUUCAAACCCGUUGGGGAAUUUUAUUAUUUUUACCUUUCCAACAAUAUUUAGAAUAUAAUUUUUGGUUAAAUAUUGUAAAAUUUAAAAAUCUAAACUGGUAAAAGUAUUUUGAUUAUAAUUUACUUUUAACUCAAGCACAAAAUAAAAUGCACAUUCGUUAAGUAGCAACAGUUUUUUUACUGCGUUUAGUUAUGGCGCGGUGAUAAGCCCUCUUAAAAUACAAAUUCUUUUCCGGGAGAUGCUAAACAACCAACAGGUUAAAUUAUCAUAAAGAGCUCAUAAGCUGAUAGAACCAGGACUGCGUUCAAAAUCGUAGCUGCUAGCCUAGCCGCUAGGUCGUAGAUAUCUAUGUCUAUUGAACGGACCGCUAGGUUAGCCGCUAGCUCUCAGAUUUGAAGUUAGAAAUUUUUAACUAAAGACUAUAUACAUAAUUCGUUAAUUUCAAGCGGAAAUAUACAUGUUAAAAUUCAUUUUAGCUGAAAGGAUGAACAAAAUAUCACUAAAUAAAUAGAUUUCUUGUUUGUUACAAAGUGUAACUUAGGUGGCCAUCUUGAAUUUGAUGCUUAGCAUAAAAUAUUUAGGCUACGAAUAUCUACGUAGCGGCUAGGCUAGCCUAUCGUUCAACUACGUAGCUCUACGUAGCAGCUACGAUCUUGAACGCAGUCCUGUGUUCGAACCUUAUUUUAUCAUACUAUAUUUACAAUUACAUCUUUAUUUUACGUUAAAAUAUGUUCAAAUCACGCCCCGUCUUCUACUGUUUUAUAGUUCCCUGUAUGUAGUAUUUAACGUCAUAAAAAAAAUUUGAGAAAAAGAACGAUUUUUAUAAAAUAUUUGUGUAUUGUCACAAACGAUUAUGUCCAGGUGCAUGGAUUUCGGGUUGUUGUUUUUUUUUUAAGUAUACCGGUAUAUAGCCGAAUUUGUGGUGGGUUGCUAAUGUUGGGGGGGGGGGGGGGGGAUUUUUUUUUGUAAAAUUUUGCUAAAAUUUUAUUUGCUAUAUUCACGCCAUUGUCAGCAUACUACUGAUUUGAAACAUCAGCGACAUUUUGUUCGCUAAAGAAAACAUCCGCCAAUAUUACUGCCAUAUCUUUGAACAAGCAAAACGCCAAAUUUAACACCCGCUAAAAAUGACUGUAGACAGUUUUUGCACAAUUUUAGCAAGCAAAACACCAAAUUUAAUACCCGCCAAAUACCAUGAAAUCCUUUCAACAAGCAAAGCAUCAAAUGUGAUGCCUGCUUAAAGUUGUCUCCACUAGAAACUGGUCAGAAGAUGUGUUGUUGCAUUUAUUAUUUUCCCACUACCUGUAUUUUUUAUGUACUACAAAAUAACUGGAAGAAUGUUGAAUUCCGUUUUUAUUUCUUUAUGUGUAUUUUAUGAAUGUAUGCUUUAGAUAUUGUAUACAUAGAUAUUUUGACUAAGGAGCCAUCAUCCUUUAAAAAGACAUAAAACCUAUAUAUACAUGUAAAUUAUAUUAAUUUUCGAGUUGUCGUAUUUUUUUUAAACUGAACAGAAGUGAUAUCUUGAAUAUUUGUAACAAAUGAAUGUUUUUAUUGUUCAGUAUGAUUAAAAACAGUCUU
rnacentral:misc_RNA from 1 species